UCACUUACCUGGACAGGGUCGAUGGCUGAUCAAGAAGAGCCAUGGCCUAGGUCAGUGGCCUCCAUUGCACCUGGGAUGAGCACUGGCUUACCAUCUUCCUAAAUGGGAGAGUGGAUGUCACAAUUUGUGGUAGAGGGGGGUACGCGUUCGCGCGGCCCCUGC